UUCUCCUGGGAAAGCUACUCGCAAAAGAUAAACUGCAUUGAUUCAAUGAAACUGUUAAUGAGAGUGCAGUUUUACAGCUGGAGAUCUGGAAAGUGGCAGGAACUUCAGUGAGAGACCUGGGUAAUGAGCAUAUAUCCCCAUCAUCAGUUCUGUGUUGCCUGAUUCUUCUCCCCUGCCUUUCCCUGGCCUUCAGUACUUGCUGAAGAAUUUUAUAGGUGAAGCCUACUGCUUGUACUCCUUGCAACCCUACUGGAUUGUCUUGUCAGAUGUAACUUCAUUCCCACCAUUGCCUGAGACAGUUCAUCAGGUUUGGAGUGAAGCAAAUCUUGAAGCUUCAAAAAAUAUGUCCCAGAUAUUAACACUGUCCUUACAGCAGAGACAUAGAAACCUAAUGUUGUACACAGCUAUUGAUAACAAUUAAU
rnacentral:lncRNA from 1 species